UAAAGGUUUGGUCCUAGCCUUUCUAUUAGUUGUUGAUAAGAUUACACAUGCAAGCCUCCACAUCCCGGUGAACAUGCCCUCUAAGUCACCUCUACGACCUAAAGGAACUGGUAUCAAGCACACAUAACACUGUAGCUCACAACACCUUGCUCAGCCACACCCCCACGGGAUACAGCAGUGAUAAAAAUUAAGCUAUGAAUGAAAGUUCGACUAAGCUAUAUCAAACUAGGGUUGGUAAAUUUCGUGCCAGCCACCGCGGUCAUACGAUUAACCCAAACCAAUAGACUUACGGCGUAAAGCGUGUAACAGAGAAUUUAACUUAAUACUAAAGUUAAGCCCUAACUAAGCUGUAAAAAGCUACAGUUAACGUAAAAAUAUAUUACGAAAGUAACUUUAAUACCUCCUACCACACGAUAGCUAAGGCCCAAACUGGGAUUAGAUACCCCACUAUGCUUAGCCCUAAACCCAGACAGUUCACCUAAACAAAACUGUCCGCCAGAGAACUACUAGCAACAGCUUAAAACUCAAAGGACUUGGCGGUGCUUUAUAUCCCUCUAGAGGAGCCUGUUCUAUAAUCGAUAAUCCCCGAUACACCUCACCAUCCCUUGCUAAUCCAGCCUAUAUACCGCCAUCUUCAGCAAACCCUAAAAAGGAGGAAAAGUAAGCACAAGUAUCUUAACACAAAAAAGUUAGGUCAAGGUGUAGCCAAUGAGAUGGAAAGCAAUGGGCUACAUUUUCUACAGCUAGAACACCUACGAACAUCCUUAUGAAACUAAGGGUCCAAGGAGGAUUUAGUAGUAAAUCUGAGAAUAGAGAGCUCAAUUGAAUCGGGCCAUGAAGCACGCACACACCGCCCGUCACCCUCCUCAAGUGACAUGGUCUUCAAAGAACCUAUCUAAUUAACCAACCCCACAAGAGGAGACAAGUCGUAACAAGGUAAGCAUACUGGAAAGUGUGCUUGGAUA
rnacentral:ncRNA from 1 species